ACUCAAAGGAAUUGACGGGGGCCCGCACAAGCAGUGGAGCAUGUGGUUUAAUUCGACGCAACGCGAAGAACCUUACCUGGGCUCGAAAUGUAGAGGACGACAUCAGAGAUGAUGUUUCUCGAAAGGGUCUCUAUAUAGGUGCUGCAUGGCUGUCGUCAGCUCGUGCCGUGAGGUGUUUGGUUAAGUCCAGCAACGAGCGCAACCCUUAUCGUUAGUUACCAACGCGUGAAGGCGGGAACUCUAACGAGACUGCCUGGGUUAACCAGGAGGAAGGUGAGGAUGACGUCAAGUCCGCAUGGCCUUUAUGUCCAGGGCAACACACGUGCUACAAUGGUCGGUACAGAAGGCAGCGAAACCGCGAGGUGGAGCAAAUCCUGCAAAACCGAUCUCAGUUCAGAUUGGAGUCUGCAACUCGACUCCAUGAAGUUGGAAUUGCUAGUAAAGGCGUGUCAGCUACAACGCCUUGAAUACGUUCCCGGGCCUUGUACACACCGCCCGU
rnacentral:rRNA from 1 species